rnacentral:rRNA from 1 species
AUUGAACGCUGGCGGAAUGCUUUACACAUGCAAGUCGGACGGUAGAGGGGGCAACCCCUUGAGAGUGGCGAACGGGUGAGUAAUAUAUCGGAACGUGCCCAGUCGUGGGGGAUAACGUAGCGAAAGUUACGCUAAUACCGCAUACGAUCUAAGGAUGAAAGCGGGGGAUCGCAAGACCUCUCUCGACUGGAGCGGCCGAUAUCAGAUUAGGUAGUUGGUAGGGUAAAGGCCUACCAAGCCAACGAUCUGUAGCUGGUCUGAGAGGACGACCAGCCACACUGGAACUGAGACACGGUCCAGACUCCUACGGGAGGCAGCAGUGGGGAAUUUUGGACAAUGGGCGAAAGCCUGAUCCAGCCAUUCCGCGUGCAGGAUGAAGGCCCUCGGGUUGUAAACUGCUUUUGUACAGAACGAAAAGGUUUAUAUUAAUACUAGGAGCUCAUGACGGUACUGUAAGAAUAAGCACCGGCUAACUACGUG